CACGUAGGGCGCGAGCGUUGUCCGGAAUUAUUGGGCGUAAAGAGCUCGUAGGCGGCCUGUUGCGUCCGCUGUGAAAACCCGAGGCUCAACCUCGGGCCUGCAGUGGGUACGGGCAGACUAGAGUGCGGUAGGGGAGAUUGGAAUUCCUGGUGUAGCGGUGGAAUGCGCAGAUAUCAGGAGGAACACCAAUGGCGAAGGCAGAUCUCUGGGCCGUAACUGACGCUGAGGAGCGAAAGCAUGGGGAGCGAACAGG
rnacentral:rRNA from 1 species